GACGAACGCUGGCGGCGCGCUUAACACAUGCAAGUCGAGCGAUGAAAUUUCGACAGAUCCCUUCGGGGUGAAGAUGAAAUGGAUUAGCGGCGGACGGGUGAGUAACACGUGAGUAACCUGCCUUUGACAUUGGGAUAGCCUCGGGAAACUGGGAUUAAUACCAAAUGACACUAACUGAUCACAUGAUCAAUUAGUCAAAGAAAUUCGGUCAAAGAUGGACUCGCGGCUGAUUAGCUAGUUGGUGAGGUAACGGCCCACCAAGGCGACGAUCAGUAGCCGGCCUGUGAGGGUGAUCGGCCACAUUGGAACUGAGACACGGUCCAGACUCCUACGGGAGGCAGCAGUGGGGAAUAUUGCACAAUGGGGGAAACCCUGAUGCAGCGACGCCGCGUGAGCGAAGAAGGCCUUCGGGUCGUAAAGCUCUUUUAUGAGGGAAGAUAAUGACGGUACCUCAAGAAAAAGCCCCGGCUAACUACGUG
rnacentral:rRNA from 1 species